AUGAAAACCCCAGAACACAAGUGCCUUUCCCUAUUCAUGCUGGGAAGGGGUGUCCAAGUAUGUGUCUCGGAGUUAUACAUCUCUGCGGAGCUCAGUAUCCUUCCAGAAGAAUCGAUGCCCCCCGCGACAUAUGCCUUCUCACCGACACUUGCUGACCCAAACAGGGACCGCGGCGAGUUCAUUGGAACAGCUGACCCCCAUGAAUUGGUUAGGAUGCUAUAUCUGUACAUACCAUUCCCAUACACCAGUAGCUCGGUUCCUACAGCGAGCGACUCCUUGUGAGAGGACAUGAAGCAUUCAUCCGGUGGCAUCUUGGGCACCUUGAUCCAGCGCUCGCGGUACAGAUCAUAA
rnacentral:rRNA from 1 species